ACUAUGGAGAGUAUAAGGAACUAUGAGUAGAUACUAAGUAUUGAAAAUAUACUCGUUGAAAUAGUAA
rnacentral:sRNA from 12 species